UUCUUCCCCACCCCUUUUGAUUAGGAAAAUGGGAAAGCGUCUUGAAGCAUUUCAUCAAAUUUCCACGCAUAACUAUCAUCACGUGAAGUUGAUGGACUACUUACCAAGGAAAAUAGGUGGGCAUGGAAAAUUGCAAAUACACCAGACAGUUGAAGACGAAAAAAGGGCAUUGGAAGAAUUUCAGAAGGACAGUAAAGAAGAUGCACUGAAGUUAGUAUAUCAGGAAGGCUUACAAAGAACUGGAGAGACCAAAUCAGCCUACAAGAAAAACCAAAUGAAGAAUAAAAAACAGACAUAGCAAGGCAAGGUAUUAAGUAUAUUUUUAAAAAUUAGCGGGGAGA